AGACUUCGGAUGGAGGAACCGGUAGUAUAGGACAAGAGAGGUAGCCCCUGGGAAGCAGAGAAUAGGAAUAAGCUGAUUUAAAGCUGCUGCAGAGAGCACUGCAUCCAUCCCGGUUUUGCAUAAAUCAAAUUCCAAUACUGGAUACCAAACAUCAGCAACAAAUCUUCUCCAAAACAAAGGGAGCACGUAGAUAGAGACGGAGUGACUCACCGAGGAGAAAGCUACACAGCACAGUGGUGGGAAGGGUCAUGCUGUCCCAUGAUGCUUCACUAAGGAAGUCGGAAGCGGCCAGCAGCAGAGUGGCGUUCUCUAUGAGCAUGAACUAAAGGAGGAGAGAAGGGCACACCAUCAGUCAUCUGCAGACUGCAGUAUGUCAAUGGGUGUCACACUUAAGUAUCAGCUACCCAAAAGUACUUAUGGCUGCUUAUUGCUGCUCACCUGCUACUCCACAGACCCACCAAUUGAACACCCUUGCAAAGAACAUGAGGCAAGUCACCCUGGCACCCAGCAUGC